rnacentral:lncRNA from 1 species
CAUAUCGGCAAGAGACAACCUGAUGCAUUGGUCCAAUUUUCGUUCACCCCACUGAACCUCAUUAGAAUGGCUGACUCUCAAGAACCAAUCCUUCCAUCCUACGGUAGGACUGGGCCAGGAAUGAAAGGUAUCCUUCCACAGAUCUAGAGAAAAAUUCUCAGCUCUAAAGGGGAUUAUGUUUGUUUCUGCGUUGAUUAGAUCGGUGGGAUCUGGAUUCCCUAGCGGACCGAGACAUUGAAGGUGUGGCUGAUCGGUAGGGAUGACAAUUUUAUUGGACAGAUCCUAAUGGUUUUGGGGUAAAAAGGAAAAAACAAAAGAAAAAGAGGGAGGUUUAGUAAAAUAAAUGGCGGAUGAACAAGGGUAUGAUAAAAUACAAAAGGUAGGGUGAUGAACUGACCUCGGGAACAGUGAAGUUGAUGGCCAUUUCCUCGCAAGGAGGAUGAUCGAGGGCUUUGAGGUUGGUGGAGAAAGGUCUUCGUCGGAGUUCUUGAAGUUCUCGAAUGGCGCCGCCGCCAGAAAAGUAGAGUUGGGGCUGU